AUUCCACCUGGGGGAGUACGUUCGCAAGAAUGAAACUCAAAGGAAUUGACGGGGGCCCGCACAAGCGGAGGAACAUGUGGUUUAAUUCGAUGAUACGCGAGGAACCUUACCCGGGCUUGAAAUGCUAUCGACCGACGGAGAGAUUCGUUAUCCAGCAAUGGCGAUAGUGUAGGUGCUGCAUGGUUGUCGUCAGCUCGUGCCGUGAGGUGUCGGCUUAAGUGCCAUAACGAGCGCAACCCUUGCCAAUAGUUACCAGCAUUUAGAUGGGGACUCUAUUGGGACUGCCACCGUAAGGUGCGAGGAAGGUGGGGAUGACGUCAAAUCAGCACGGCCCUUACGUCCGGGGCGACACACGUGUUACAAUGGGGAGUACAGAGGGUUGCUACACCGCGAGGUGAUGCUAAUCCCUUAAAACUUUUCUCAGUUCGGAUCGGAGUCUGCAACUCGACUCCGUGAAGCUGGAUUCGCUAGUAAUCGCGCAUCAGCCAUGGCGCGGUGAAUACGUUCCCGGGCCUUGUACACACCGCCCGUCAAGCCAUGGGAGUUGGGGGGACCUGAAGUUCGUGACCGCAAGGAGCGACCUAGGGUAAAACCGAUGGCAGGCUAAGUCGUAACAAGGUAGCCG
rnacentral:rRNA from 1 species